rnacentral:rRNA from 1 species
AAGGAUGUGGGGAUGCACAGACAACUAGGAGGUUGGCUCAGAAGCAGCCAUCCUUCAAAGAGUGCGUAACAGCUCACUAGUCGAGUGACCCUGCGCCGAAAAUGUACCGGGGCUAAGCAUACUACCGAAGCUGCGGAUUUGUAGUAAUACAAGUGGUAGGGGAGCGUUCCAUGCACGUGGAAGCCAUACCGUAAGGAGUGGUGGAGAGCAUGGAAGUGAGAAUGCCGGUGUGAGUAGCGAGAUGCAGGUGAGAAUCCUGCACACCGAUAGCCCAAGGAUUCCAGGGGAAGGUUCGUCCGCCCUGGGUAAGUCGGGACCUAAGGCGAGGCCGAAAGGCGUAGUCGAUGGAAAACAGGCAGAUAUUCCUGUACCCGCGAUGGAAAUGAAGGAAUGACGGAGAAGGCUAGCAUGAGCCACUUAUUGGAUUGUGGUCGAAGCGAAUAGCAGGUGCACAGUAAAAUGCGUGCACGGGAUGUAAAACGUGACAGGUAAGCGAAACCCCUGGGGAGUAGCGAAGCAUGCGAGGCCAGCUUCCAGGAAAAGUUUCUAGUGCUAAUUCCAUAGCGGCCCGUACCAAAACCGACACAGGUGGGCAAGGAGAGUAUCCUGAGGUGAGCGAGAGAACUGUUGCCAAGGAACUCGGCAAAAUGACUCCGUAAGUUAGCGAGAAGGAGUGCUUAUGAAAGUAAGCCGCAGUGAAGAGGCCCAAGCGACUGUUUAACUAAAACACAGCUCUCUGCGAAGUCGCAAGACGAAGUAUAGGGGGUGACGCCUGCCCGGUGCUGGAAGGUUAAGAGGAUUUGUCAGUUUCGACGAAGCAAUGAAUUGAAGCCCCAGUGAACGGCGGCCGUAACUAUAACGGUCCUAAGGUAGCGAAAUUCCUUGUCAGGUAAGUUCUGACCCGCACGAAAGGCGUAACGAUUUGGGCGCUGUCUCGGCAGCAGACUCGGUGAAAUCUUAGUACCUGUGAAAAUGCAGGUUACCCGCAACUAGACGGAAAGACCCCAUGGAGCUUUACUGCAGCCUGAUAUUGGAUUUUGAUCAGAGAUGUACAGGAUAGGUGGGAGACGAAGAAGGAUGCACGCCAGUGUAUCUGGAGUCGACGUUGGGAUACCACUCUUGUCUGAUUGGAGUUCUAACCUGCGUCCAUGAAGCUGGACGGGGGACCGUGUCAGGCAGGCAGUUUGACUGGGGCGGUCGCCUCCCAAAGAGUAACGGAGGCGCCCAAAGGUACGCUCAGAUUGGACGGAAAUCAAUCGGCGAGUGCAAAUGCAGAAGCGUGCUUGACUGUGAGACAAACAGGUCGAACAGGGACGAAAGUCGGGAUUAGUGAUCCGGCGGUGCCGAAUGGAAGGGCCGUCGCUCAACGGAUAAAAGCUACCCUGGGGAUAACAGGCUGAUCUCGCCCAAGAGUUCACAUCGACGGCGAGGUUUGGCACCUCGAUGUCGGCUCAUCGCAUCCUGGAGCUGAAUUCGGUUCCAAGGGUUGGGCUGUCCGCCCAUUAAAGCGGUACGCGAGCUGGGUUCAGAACGUCGUGAGACAGUUCGGUCCCUAUCUGUUGUGGGCGUAGGAGAUUUGAGGAGAGCUGUCCUUAGUACGAGAGGACCGGGAUGGACCUACCGCUGGUGCACCGGUUGUUGUGCCAACAGCAUAGCCGGGUAGCUAAGUAGGGAAGGGAUAAGCGCUGAAAGCAUCUAAGCGCGAAGCCUACUCCAAGAUGAGAUCUCCCAUACGCAAGUAGUAAGACCCCUUGAAGACGACGAGGUAGAUAGGUCAGGGAUGGAAGCGCAGCGAUGCGUGGAGUUGACUGAUACUAAUAGGUCGAGAACUUAAUCAA